UUUGGGAUGCAUUUGGAGAAUA
rnacentral:siRNA from 1 species